rnacentral:rRNA from 1 species
GACGAACGCUGGCGGCGUGCUUAACACAUGCAAGUCGAACGGAAAGGCCCUGCUUUUGUGGGGUGCUCGAGUGGCGAACGGGUGAGUAACACGUGAGUAACCUGCCCUUGACUUUGGGAUAACUUCAGGAAACUGGGGCUAAUACCGGAUAGGAGCUCCUGCUGCAUGGUGGGGGUUGGAAAGUUUCGGCGGUUGGGGAUGGACUCGCGGCUUAUCAGCUUGUUGGUGGGGUAGUGGCUUACCAAGGGUUUGACGGGUAGCCGGCCUGAGAGGGUGACCGGCCAAAUUGGGAAUGAGAUACGGACCAGACUCCAACGGGAGGCAGCAGUGGGGAAUAUUGCACAAUGGGCGGAAGCCUGAUGCAGAAACGCAGCGUGCGGGAUGACGGCCUUCGGGUGGUAAACCGAAGUCGAAUGUGACGAAGAGUGAGUGACGGUAAUGGGUAAAGAAGCAACGGCUAACUACGUG